AGCGAACGCUGGCGGCAGGCUUAACACAUGCAAGUCGAGCGGGCGUAGCAAUACGUCUGCGGCAGACGGGUGUGUAACGCGGGGAAACGUACCUAUUGGUUCGGAACCACACAGGGAAACUUGUGCUAAUACCGGAUAAGCUCUUACGGGGAAAGAUUUAUCGCCGGAAGAUGGGCCCGCGUCUGAUUAGCUAGUUGGUGGGGUAACGGCCCACCAAGGCGACGAUCAGUAGCUGGUCUGAGAGGAUGAUCAGCCACAUUGGGACUGAGACACGGCCCAGACUCCUACGGGAGGCAGCAGUGGGGAAUAUUGGACAAUGGGGGCAAGCCUGAUCCAGCCAUGCCGCGUGAGUGAUGAAGGCCUUAGGGUUGUAAAGCUCUUUUGUGCGGGAAGAUAAUGACGGUACCGCAAGAAUAAGCCCCGGCUAACUUCGUG
rnacentral:rRNA from 1 species